rnacentral:rRNA from 1 species
GACGAACGCUGGCGGCGUGCUUAACACAUGCAAGUCUAACGGAAAGGCCCUGCUUUUGUGGGGUGCUCGAGUGGCGAACGGGUGAGUAACACGUGAGUAACCUGCCCUUGACUUUGGGAUAACUUCAGGAAACUGGGGCUAAUACCGGAUAGGAGCUCCUGCUGCAUGGUGGGGGUUGGAAAGUUUCGGCGGUUGGGGAUGGACUCGCGGCUUAUCAGCUUGUUGGUGGGGUAGUGGCUUACCAAGGCUUUGACGGGUAGCCGGCCUGAGAGGGUGACCGGCCACAUUGGGACUGAGAUACGGCCCAGACUCCUACGGGAGGCAGCAGUGGGGAAUAUUGCACAAUGGGCGGAAGCCUGAUGCAGCAACGCCGCGUGCGGGAUGACGGCCUUCGGGUUGUAAACCGCUUUCGCCUGUGACGAAGCGUGAGUGACGGUAAUGGGUAAAGAAGCACCGGCUAACUACGUGCCAGCAGCCGCGGUGAUACGUAGGGUGCGAGCGUUGUCCGGAUUUAUUGGGCGUAAAGGGCUCGUAGGUGGUUGAUCGCGUCGGAAGUGUAAUCUUGGGGCUUAACCCUGAGCGUGCUUUCGAUACGGGUUGACUUGAGGAAGGUAGGGGAGAAUGGAAUUCCUGGUGGAGCGGUGGAAUGCGCAGAUAUCAGGAGGAACACCAGUGGCGAAGGCGGUUCUCUGGGCCUUUCCUGACGCUGAGGAGCGAAAGCGUGGGGAGCGAACAGGCUUAGAUACCCUGGUAGUCCACGCUGUAAACGGUGGGUACUAGGUGUGGGGUCCAUUCCACGGGUUCCGUGCCGUAGCUAACGCUUUAAGUACCCCGCCUGGGGAGUACGGCCGCAAGGCUAAAACUCAAAGGAAUUGACGGGGCCCCGCACAAGCGGCGGAGCAUGCGGAUUAAUUCGAUGCAACGCGUAGAACCUUACCUGGGUUUGACAUGGAUCGGGAGUGCUCAGAGAUGGGUGUGCCUCUUUUGGGGUCGGUUCACAGGUGGUGCAUGGCUGUCGUCAGCUCGUGUCGUGAGAUGUUGGGUUAAGUCCCGCAACGAGCGCAACCCUUGUUCACUGUUGCCAGCACGUUAUGGUGGGGACUCAGUGGAGACCGCCGGGGUCAACUCGGAGGAAGGUGGGGAUGACGUCAAGUCAUCAUGCCCCUUAUGUCCAGGGCUUCACGCAUGCUACAAUGGCUGGUACAGAGAGUGGCGAGCCUGUGAGGGUGAGCGAAUCUCGGAAAGUCGGUCUCAGUUCGGAUUGGGGUCUGCAACUCGACCUCAUGAAGUCGGAGUCGCUAGUAAUCGCAGACCAGCAACGCUGCGGUGAAUACGUUCCCGGG